rnacentral:rRNA from 1 species
UGGAGGCAGCAGUGGGGAAUCUUCCGCAAUGGGCGAAAGCCUGACGGAGCGACGCCGCGUGAGUGAAGAAGGUCUUCGGAUCGUAAAGCUCUGUUACCAGGGACGAGAAAAGACGGUACCUGGGGAGGAAGCCACGGCUAACUACGUGCCAGCAGCCGCGGUAAUACGUAGGUGGCGAGCGUUGUCCGGAAUUAUUGGGCGUAAAGGGCGCGUAGGCGGCUUUUUAAGUCAGGUGUGAAAUACCCCGGCUCAACUGGGGAGUGCCAUCUGAUACUGGAGAGCUAGAGUGCAGGAGAGGAAAGUGGAAUUCCAUGUGUAGCGGUGAAAUGCGUAGAUAUAUGGAGGAACACCAGUGGCGAAGGCGGCUUUCUGGACUGUAACUGACGCUGAGGCGCGAAAGCUGGGGGAGCGAACGGGAUUAGAAACCCUAGUAGUCCA